UACGUAGGGGGCAGGCGUUGUCCGGAUUUAUUGGGCGUAAAGAGCGUGUAGGCGGCCAGGUAGGUCUGCUGUGAAAACUCGAGUCUUAACCUCGAGCUGUCGGCGGAAACCAUCUGGCUAGAGUCCGGAAGAGGAGAAUGGAAUUCCCGGUGUAGCGGUGAAAUGCGCAGAUAUCGGGAAGAACACCCGUGGCGAAGGCGGUUCUCUGGGACGGUACUGACGCUGAGACGCGAAAGCGUGGGGAGCGAACAGG
rnacentral:rRNA from 1 species